UACGGAGGGGGCUAGCGUUGUUCGGAAUUACUGGGCGUAAAGCGCACGUAGGCGGCUUUGUAAGUUAGAGGUGAAAGCCCAGGGCUUAACCCUGGAAUUGCCUUUAAGACUGCAUCGCUAGAAUCGUGGAGAGGUGAGUGGAAUUCCGAGUGUAGAGGUGAAAUUCGAUAGAUAUUCGGAAGAACACCAGUGGCGAAGGCGACUCACUGGACACGUAUUGACGCUGAGGUGCGAAAGCGUGGGGAGACAAACAGG
rnacentral:rRNA from 1 species